AGUGAACGCUGGCGGUAGGCCUAACACAUGCAAGUCGAACGGCAGCACAGGAGAGCUUGCUCUCUGGGUGGCGAGUGGCGGACGGGUGAGGAAUACAUCGGAAUCUACUCUGUCGUGGGGGAUAACGUAGGGAAACUUACGCUAAUACCGCAUACGACCUACGGGUGAAAGCAGGGGAUCUUCUGACCUUGCGCGAUUGAAUGAGCCGAUGUCGGAUUAGCUAGUUGGCGGGGUAAAGGCCCACCAAGGCGACGAUCCGUAGCUGGUCUGAGAGGAUGAUCAGCCACACUGGAACUGAGACACGGUCCAGACUCCUACGGGAGGCAGCAGAGGGGAAUAUUGGACAAUGGGCGCAAGCCUGAUCCAGCCAUACCGCGUGGGUGAAGAAGGCCUUCGGGUUGUAAAGCCCUUUUGUUGGGAAAGAAAUCCAGCUGGCUAAUACCCGGUUGGGAUGACGGUACCCAAAGAAUAAGCACCGGCUAACUUCGUGCCAGCAGCCGCGGUAA
rnacentral:rRNA from 1 species